GUGAAUCAUCAAAUUUUUGAACGCAAAUUGCGCUCCCUGGUAUCCCGGGAAGUAUGCCUGUUUGAGGGUCAGUAUUAACAAAAAAUCGGUUUGGUUGCAAAUUGUGACGUUUCCGGAGUUUGGGCUUAUCUUAACUUUUUUGGUUAAGGGGCUUAAAAUUGACCUUUUUUGCGCAUUUUUAGACGUACAUAAAUUUUUUUUUUAUAUCUAUUCCUUUUGUCAAAAUGUUUUUUGAU
rnacentral:misc_RNA from 1 species